rnacentral:rRNA from 1 species
CCUACGGGGUGCUGCAGUGAGGAAUAUUGGUCAAUGGACGAGAGUCUGAACCAGCCAAGUAGCGUGAAGGAUGACUGCCCUAUGGGUUGUAAACUUCUUUUAUAUGGGAAUAAAAUGUUCCACGUGUGGGAUUUUGUAUGUACAAUAUGAAUAAGGAUCGGCUAACUCCGUGCCAGCAGCCGCGGUAAUACGGAGGAUCCGAGCGUUAUCCGGAUUUAUUGGGUUUAAAGGGAGCGUAGGUGGAUUGUUAAGUCAGUUGUGAAAGUUUGCGGCUCAACCGUAAAAUUGCAGUUGAAACUGGCAGUCUUGAGUACAGUAGAGGUGGGCGGAAUUCGUGGUGUAGCGGUGAAAUGCUUAGAUAUCACGAAGAACUCCGAUUGCGAAGGCAGUUCACUGGACUGCAACUGACACUGAGGCUCGAAAGUGUGGGUAUCAAACAGGAUUAGAUACCCUUGUAGUC